rnacentral:rRNA from 1 species
AACGAACGCUGGCGGCGUGGAUAAGACAUGCAAGUCGAACGGGAUUUCUUUCUGUCGCAAGACAGGAAGAAGUCUAGUGGCGAACGGGUGCGUAACACGUGGGCAAUCUGCCUUAAAGUGGGGGAUAGCUCGGCGAAAGCCGAAUUAAUACCGCAUGUGAUGAGAGUAGACAUCUAUUCGAAAUCAAAGCCGGGGCAACCUGGCGCUUUUUGAGGAGCCCGCGGCCAUCAGCUUGUUGGUGAGGUAACGGCCCACCAAGGCUAUGACGGGUAGCUGGUCUGAGAGGACGACCAGUCACACUGGGACUGAGACACGGCCCAGACACCUACGGGUGGCAGCAGUCGAGUAAUUUUUCUCAAGU